CCUACGGGUGGCAGCAGUGAGGAAUAUUGGUCAAUGGACGAGAGUCUGAACCAGCCAAGUAGCGUGAAGGAUUACUGCCCUAUGGGUUGUAAACUUCUUUUAUAUGGGAAUAAAAUGUUCCACGUGUGGGAUUUUGUAUGUACCAUAUGAAUAAGGAUCGGCUAAAUCCGUGCCAGCAGCCGCGGUAAUACGGAGGAUCCGAGCGUUAUCCGGAUUUAUUGGGUUUAAAGGGAGCGUAGGUGGAUUGUUAAGUCCGUUGUGAAAGUUUGCGGCUCAACCGUGAAAUUGCAGUUGAAACUGGCAGUCUUGAAUACAGUAGAGGUGGGCGGAAUUCGUGGUGUAGCGGUGAAAUGCGUAGAUAUCACGAAGAACUCCGAUUGCGAAGGCAGUUCACUGGACUGCAAUUGACACUGAGGCUCGAAAGUGUGGGUAUCAAACAGGAUUAGAUACCCCAGUAGUC
rnacentral:rRNA from 1 species